GCUUACCGCCACGUAGAUGGUGCCCUUCACAGGGGUAAUAGGGAACGCCCGUGCGAUGCCGUGUUUCACAACAUAGCGUCAAGUCGGCGGCUGCACCCGCAACUGUCAGCGGAUAGCAAACUGUCACAUGUCACUCGAUUUCGGGGAAGGCGACAGGGCGCAAUGACCCGCGAGCCAGGAAACCUGCCAUAGACGGUCGUUCAUUC
rnacentral:ncRNA from 23 species